rnacentral:tRNA from 1 species
AUUACCUUGACAGAUUGAUGUAUUAAAUUUAGAAUUUAAAAAAGUAAUUUAUAUUACAGGUAAUA